UGAACGCUGGCGGUAGGCCUAACACAUGCACGUCGAACGGCAGCACAGUAAGAGCUUGCUCUUACGGGUGGCGAGUGGCGGACGGGUGAGGAAUACAUCGGAAUCUACUUUUUCGUGGGGGAUAACGUAGGGAAACUUGCGCUAAUACCGCAUACGACCUACGGGUGAAAGCAGGGGAUCUUCGGACCUUGCGCGAUUGAAUGAGCCGAUGUCGGAUUAGCUAGUUGGCGGGGUAAAGGCCCACCAAGGCGACGAUCCGUAGCUGGUCUGAGAGGAUGAUCAGCCACACUGGAACUGAGACACGGUCCAGACUCCUACGGGAGGCAGCAGUGGGGAAUAUUGGACAAUGGGCGCAAGCCUGAUCCAGCCAUACCGCGUGGGUGAAGAAGGCCUUCGGGUUGUAAAGCCCUUUUGUUGGGAAAGAAAAGCAGCAGGUUAAUACCCCGCUGUUCUGACGGUACCCAAAGAAUAAGCACCGGCUAACUUCGUG
rnacentral:rRNA from 1 species